rnacentral:rRNA from 1 species
GACGAACGCUGGCGGCGUGCUUAACACAUGCAAGUCGAACGGAAAGGCCCUGCUUUUGUGGGUUGCUCGAGUGGCGAACGGGUGAGUAACACGUGAGUAACCUGCCCUUGACUUUGGGAUAACUUCAGGGAACUGGGGCUCAUACCGGAUAGGAGCUCCUGCUGCAUGGUGGUGGUUGGAAAGUUUCGGCGGUUGGGGAUGGACUCGCGGCUUAUCAGCUUGUUGGUGGGGUAGUGGCUUACCAAGGCUUUGACGGGUAGCCGGCCUGAGAGGGUGACCGGCCACAUUGGGACUGAGAUAUGGCCCAGACUCCUACGGGAGGCAGCAGUGGGGAAUAUUGCACAAUGGGCGGAAGCCUGAUGCAGCAAUGUCGCGUGCGGGAUGACGGCUUUCGGGUUGUAAACCGCUUUCGACUGUGACGAAGAGUGAGUGACGGUAAUGGGUAAAGAAGCACCGGCUAACUACGUG